AUUGAACGCUGGCGGCAUGCCUUACACAUGCAAGUCGAACGGCAGCACGGGGCAACCUGGUGGCGAGUGGCGAACGGGUGAGUAAUGCAUCGGAACGUACCUUUCAGGGGGGGAUAACGUAGCGAAAGUUACGCUAAUACCGCAUAUUCUGUGAGCAGGAAAGCAGGUGAUCGCAAGACCUUGCGCUGAUUGAGCGGCCGAUGUCAGAUUAGCUAGUUGGUGAGGUAAAGGCUCACCAAGGCGACGAUCUGUAGCGGGUCUGAGAGGAUGAUCCGCCACACUGGAACUGAGACACGGUCCAGACUCCUACGGGAGGCAGCAGUGGGGAAUUUUGGACAAUGGGGGCAACCCUGAUCCAGCCAUGCCGCGUGAGUGAAGAAGGCCUUCGGGUUGUAAAGCUCUUUCGGCCGGGAAGAAAUCGCACGGGCUAAUACCCUGUGUGGGUGACGGUACCGGAAUAAGAAGCACCGGCUAACUACGUGCCAGCAGCCGCAGUAACAC
rnacentral:rRNA from 1 species